GGAAAUCUUUCUGUGGGUGAAAAGGUUUGAGGGAGCUCACCCUGCUCUGGAUGUCCCCAAGGCCCAGCAAUUAUGGAGACAGCCUGGACAGUGUGUGGAUUUUGAAAAGCUUCACCAUUCAGCUUUUGAUCAGUCAGGCAGUAGGAGUUGGCCUAGAGGACAAACUGCCCUCCAGCCACAAUCCCACCCUGUGGCUCAUCCAGAGCCUUGGGAAUCAGGCACAUGGUGACCUCCAGAGAUGGCAGCCAGCAGCAAACCCACAGGAUCUGCAGUGACAGAGCAGAGCUGGCACGUUGGAUUGCAGCAUUGCUGAGAGGAAAAGCGUGAACGCUGCAGGAAUUUCUGCUCCAUGGAAAAAUGUUAUUUUUGGAUUCUUCAGGAAGGCGUGCACAUAAAACCACCGGUUCCCUGGAAAAUACAGCACAGAGUGUUUACUCUGCCUCCAUACAGCAUUGCUUUGUAGGGUGAAAGUGAGGGCGAGACCACAGUGAAGAAUUCCCUCAUUGUCAAUUUUAAAGGCUUCAUAAUAAAUGCAAAACGCCCUUUGAGAAGGAAACCUUGUUACCCUUAAUGCAAUGCGAGCCACCCACGGAGCUCUCCGACAAUCCCGGGGUCCCUGUGUUUAUUUUCCCCAGGAUCACUAACAGUCCCAGGACUAUUUUGCUUGUGCUGCUGAAAGAUGUGCUGGAGAUGUGUUUUAUCAUCGUAGCACCACAAGCUGCUUUCAUUCUUUCAGGCCUCUUGCAGAACAGCACGCGAGUGGCAGGACAUGUCCUGCAUGGGGGAAUUUUUAUGAGGCAGAACCUCACUUGGGAGGUUUCAUUUACUCCCAGUGGUACUGAGGGAGUAACUGUGGUGGACUGAGCUCAUCACCCAUUUAGUGCAUUUAACCAUUGGAAUACACCUUGGUGAAGAACCAUUUUGC